AAAGUUUUUUAGUUUGUUGUGGAACUAGACUAGAUAUUACCUAAUAAGCUUCUUAUAACUUAUGUAAUGUGUUUCUUUUACGACAUUCUAUAUUGGUAUAAUCAUAUCAUGCUAUUCCUACAAUAUUAUAACUAACACUGACUCUCAUAAGUUUGAGUCUCAAGUCAUGAAAAAGGAUAAUGUUGCUAAACGAUUUACAGCCGAUAAUCUUUCGAAAGCAGAAAAACUCAGGUUAGCAUCAAAUAGAAAGUUAGCGCAAUUUCUGGUAUUUGUGUGUCAAACAAAGAAUACGCG
rnacentral:lncRNA from 1 species